UGAGUAACACGUGGGUGAUCUGCCCUGCACUUCGGGAUAAGCCUGGGAAACUGGGUCUAAUACCGGAUAGGAGCCAUUUUUAGUGUGAUGGCUGGAAAGUUUUUCGGUGUAGGAUGAGCUCGCGGCCUAUCAGCUUGUUGGUGGGGUAAUGGCCUACCAAGGCGGCGACGGGUAGCCGGCCUGAGAGGGUGGACGGCCACAUUGGGACUGAGAUACGGCCCAG
rnacentral:rRNA from 1 species